GUUGAUUUAUAUGUAAAUUAAAUGACAGUACCUAAAAUGCGCGUGUCUGAAAAAACCUGUCUGUCAUGCGUUACACCACUGUCGUAAAACGUCUCUGUCUGCUGUUGCAAUGGCGUUUGCUGCGACAGCACUUUGCGGCAGCAGGGAAACCGAGGAGAAAGCAGCGACAAACGUCGCCAGCGGAUACGCUAUCGCCUCAAAAAUCCUCGGAUUUACGCAAUAUUCGGUGAACUAACUUGUAUAUUGUUUGUAUAUCCCUUCGCCUUGUGGAUGAGAUUGUAUUCGAAGUUUUUCAAGCGUGAAUCUCCACCUUAAUGCGGUGGGAUGGCCACAGUGCCGCCUGGGCCUAGUAGCGCACUGCCUGCAUCCCCGGCUGAAAUUCCUCCUUUCCCCGGGGCUGGAAGCGCGGAGCCGGCGGGGGGAGACGGAGAGCCGGUCUGCCACAGGGAGGACUGUGUACCCACCGCUACAGGGAAGACGUCUCAGCCGGUAAGCGAAGUGAAAAGGUCGGUGAAGAAGAAGCAGAAAAACAUGCUAACGCGAGCUAGCCCGGCGGCGUUGCACCUUAAAAUGCAAGCGCGAGAGCAGCAGCAGCUAAACGGCUUGGUCAGCCCCUCAGAGGACGCUAACAGCCACCAACACACAGGAAACCGACCUGACAAUCCGAGACCGUCCGUGGACAACUGUGACAGCAGCAGCAGCGGCAGCAGUGAGGGGGCUCCGGCCGCUAGAAACAAUAAUGAGCAUUGCCAACACGAAGGCCACAGCCCCUUCUCCAAAAACGGCAGUCACUCUCCCCUGGUUAACAAUAGCGUGAACGGGAUGCCGGGUUACACAAGAACUGAGGCGGCCCACAGCCACCUCGGGGACGAAGGGAAAGAGGAGUUUGACCACACGGAGCCGCCGAGACCGCCGAGCGACGAGCCGCCGGACGCUGCCGGGCCCGGCGAAGAGGACAACCCUGCUGACCCGGAGCAGCAGCAGCCGCCAGCCGCAGAGCUGGCCCGGCUCGACCUGAACAGCUCCCCGGGGCGAGCGGAAGAGGAGAGUCACGGCAUCCGAUAUGUCCGUUAUGAGUCGGAGCUGCAGAUGCCGUGGAUCAUGAGAUUGAUCACCAAGGACUUGUCUGAGCCUUAUUCAAUUUAUACGUACAGGUACUUCAUCCACAACUGGCCGCAGCUCUGCUUUCUGGCCAUGGUGGAACAGGAGUGUGUUGGAGCCAUCGUAUGUAAGCUUGACAUGCAUAAGAAGAUGUUCCGUCGUGGCUACAUUGCCAUGCUGGCCGUGGAUUCAAAACACAGAAGGAAAAGCAUCGGUACUAAUCUGGUGAAGAAGGCCAUUUAUGCCAUGGUGGAGGGUGACUGUGACGAGGUUGUAUUGGAGACUGAGAUCACCAACAAAUCAGCCCUGAAGCUGUACGAGAACUUGGGUUUUGUCAGAGACAAGCGACUGUUCAGAUACUACCUGAACGGAGUGGACGCGCUGCGGCUCAAACUGUGGCUCCGCUAAAGGAAAGAAGAGGGGACGGGGGAGGACGGGACAGCGGGUGCUGUUCACCUCCUACAAUAUCAGCUUGACAGCCUCAGCUCUGCCCUGCUGAGACAUUUCAUCCCAGGAGGCCAGGACUGGAAGGGAGAGUAGAUGUUUACAGAGUUGCCACCCACAUAACAGCCUGUGUAUGUAAGUUUGUGUCUGUGUGCAUUUGGAACAAUGGAUCAGAUGACCUAUUUUCUUUUUUCUUUUUCUUUUUCUUUUUUUUUCAGAUUUGUAUACGAGUGUUGUUCUAUUCAUGGGAUAUAUUGAGAGCAUGUUUUCUUUGGUGAAUCAUCUUUUGGGAAAGGGGGCGAUUUGGGUUGAUUUAUCGGAUUUGAGUUUUUAUUUUUAAUUUCUGUGCUACUUUAGCCCAUCCAGAAAUGUAACAAGACUGAUGAGCAUAUGAAAACCACCUAGACCUUGAACGCCAAUUAUUUCCUUUGCUGCUCAUCUUACACCAUUUAGGUUUCAGUUAUUACCCUGUUCAAACUCCUGAUUUAUUCUGGAGGUUUAAAUCUUCUGUUCCUGUCGACACUUGUUUCCACAUUCUUCUGUGUCCUCUCACUGUCCGGGCUUUUUCUUCUUUUACACUGACUACUGAUGGAUGAACAGUCUGGAUUUGUUACACGAUAACAAAUUAACCCAUUUUGUUCUUUCAGCAUGAAGGUGUUUUAGAUUUGGAAGGAAAAGGGUCUGUUAACUUCUUUUCGUUUAAAUCCUGUGAAACUCUGGCAGUUCCAUUAGGUAUAUGGGCAUUACAGCCUGCCACAAUGAGCCAAAGGGCUCCGUUUAGGUCAUCACAGACUGAAGGGCUUUGUCAUCAAUAUCAGUUUGUAGCCUUGGCUUGUGGUGCAUAGUUUUACCCAGCGCUCUCUGACAAUGUCUUCUCUGCAUCCGGAAUCAAUUUUGAUUUGACAUGCCAGUUCAGUGUUCACAGAUCGUCAGAAGCAUUUUUUUCCCUUCGCCCUGGACGUCCACCGUGUUAUCCAGGUUGCUCGUCCUAACAGUCCCAGCCCCACUUCUAUGUCCUCACACAAGGCCACAUCUGCUGUUCUACAUAUACAAUUAUAAAUUCCCCCAGAAACCAGAUUGUUGGUCAGAUAAUUAACAUUUGUAUUGGUAGUCAUACUGCACCACAAAUUGCUAUGGUCCCCACAACCAACCACAGGGGUUUCCUGCAGUCUUUUCAGGGUGGCCAGCACCACCUCCACCGCCAUCCAUGACGUGUGCAAAGGGGAGAGUAAAAGGUUUUUUUGCAUGUCGGAUUUCUGUUUCCCCUGUUCCUCUUCCCUGUCCCCUCUCUUGAUUUUGAUCUGGAAAUGUCCGAUAGCUUUUAUUUAAUGUGGAAAAAGAACACAGAAAUAAAUUAUUUGAUUUUUUUAAUGCUGUAAA